UACGUAGGGGCCUAGCGUUGUCCGGAUUUAUUGGGCGUAAAGCGCGCGUAGGCGGCCCGGUAAGUCCGUUGUAAAAGUCAAAGGCUCAACCUUUGAAAGCCGAUGGAUACUGCCGGGCUAGAAUCCGGAAGAGGCGAGUGGAAUUCCUGGUGUAGCGGUGGAAUGCGCAGAUAUCAGGAGGAACACCAACAGCGAAGGCAGCUCGCUGGGACGGUAUUGACGCUGAGGCGCGAAAGCGUGGGGAGCAAACAGG
rnacentral:rRNA from 1 species